AGUGAACGCUGGCGGUAGGCCUAACACAUGCAAGUCGAACGGCAGCACAGUAAGAGCUUGCUCUUACGGGUGGCGAGUGGCGGACGGGUGAGGAAUACAUCGGAAUCUACUUUUUCGUGGGUGAUAACGUAGGGAAACUUACGCUAAUACCGCAUACGACCUACGGGUGUAAGCAUGGGAUCUUCGGACCUUGCGCGAUUGAAUGAGCCGAUGUCGGAUUAGCUAGUUGUCGGGGUAAAGGCCCACCAAGGCGACGAUCCGUAGCUGGUCUGAGAGGAUGAUCAGCCACACUGGAACUGAGACACGGUCCAGACUCCUACGGGAGGCAGCAGUGGGGAAUAUUGGACAAUGGGCGCAAGCCUGAUCCAGCCAUACCGCGUGGGUGAAGAAGGCCUUCGGGUUGUAAAGCCCUUUUGUUGGGAAAGAAAAGCAGCAGGUUAAUACCCCGCUGUUCUGACGGUACCCAAAGAAUAAGCACCGGCUAACUUCGUG
rnacentral:rRNA from 1 species